AAAAGGAAAUACAAUCAAUCCCAAACAAAAAUGUUGUUAAUGGUGUAGGGUUGGAGCUGUAGGACACUGAGCUAAGCCAAUCAUUGCAUAGCAUCAUCCUAACUUGGCCAGUGUCAAGUAGGAGAAUGUGGUUCUUGGCCAUGGUAGAGGUUUUUCUUAUUUUGUUAAUGAAAAGAACUCAGAGUCCAAUAAUCUUAAUAAUUAGCAUCUAAUGUUUCUUCUAAGCCUUCUUAUUUUUGUUACCAUUAUGAACAAACAAAUGAUAAACAUAAAGCACCAGGAAUCAUGAUUUAUGCCAUAUGGUGUGAUAGUAGUUUGUUGAGGAUGUUGAGGCUGGGAUGUGAGUUCAUUUGGCUCUGUGGAAAGAAGACUCUGAUAUACUUUUAAUAAUGAACUUAGUCUUUCAUAGCUGCUGGGGUCUCCAGCCUCAGUGGACUGCAGUGCUUUCCCUAUGGUCAGGGCAUUUUACUUUUCUCAGUAUUUAUACUUUAGCCAGUUGAUUACCAUAUGCUCAGAACAACUUGAAUGAGGCUUCCAAAACCACGAUGCCAACUGCAAAUCUUGAUUCAUCGGGUACCACAGGUAUGUCUACUAACAGACAUUACUUUAACAUGGUGAUAUCCCAUUUAAGGAAUUCAGAAAUAACAGAGGUGACCCUCCUAUUCAUUUUUCUUUUUAAGUGACUUGGUGAUUGUUACAUUAGCUGUAUUGUCAGUAUAAUUUUCUUUUCAUACAUUUAUGGUAUAUUUUAGAACAGUGAACUGUGUUGAUGUUCAUUUUGACUUCAUUCAGGAAGAGUGGGCUUUGCUGGAUCCUUCCCAGAAGAAUCUCCAUAAAGAUGUGAUGGUGGAGACUAUAGGAACCUCACUGCUAUAGAGUCAUACAGGAUCACCAUGAAAACAGCAAGGCAACAGGUGUCAGAUAUGGCAGAUAUAGCAGGAUGCUAAGAUCUCACAUCCUCAACCUGCAGAAUGAACCAGACAGUGGGAACUGGAAAUGGUAUGCAGAUGUCAAUUAUAAAACCAUACCCCCAGUGACAUAUUACCUCCAGCAGGGCAUCAUUUCCUUAAUCAUCUCAAAUGAUACCACCAACUGGGAAGUAUUGAUUUCUCUGACUUCAGACCUACAUGCUCGCUUUUUGUUAUAUGAAGCAGAUCAUGAUACAGAAAAACUGUAGACGUCAUUGUUUGUUAUCCAUCCUGGCUUGGAUGUCAGUACUUUGUCAUGGCUACCUUUGAACUCAUAUGUCUCAUGUUUCAUCGUCAUGAGUUCAAGACCAAGGGUAGAUGAUGUAACCCUGAUGUGUGCUCCUUUGUGGACAUGUUUCAACAAUGUUAAUAUUAACAUGCUUAAGAAGUUUAUUCUGAGUACUAAACUCUUGUGGCACUGAUGUCCCCAAGAGCCAGGGAGAUGAAAUGCCAAGUCAAGGGCUGGUGUGAUGAGCCACCACAUCUGCUGUUCCCAUUGUAGGAGCUCCAUGGCAGGUUUUUUAUCUUUCCACACUGGAAUGCUGAUGGAGUGACAGGGAGAGUCUUCACUGAAGACAAGACCUCAGCAGUUAGUGAGGAGAGGGGCUGAUGCCUGCCACCUAUCUGGAACACAUGCCAGACAGUGAAGGAGGAAAUUAUCGGACUUGUAGGUGUGUAAACAGAAGACACAACCAGGAAGAAAGGUUGCAAGACAAGUAGAAUGCCCUGAAACCUUCAACAGCAGGGACCUCAUGGAAGAUCUCAGGAUUGAGUAAAAGAUAUGAUCCCAGAAUGGUAAGUAAACACAAAGUGGGUUAGAGUUUAGAGUUUAGGAUUUAGGGUAUAGAGGUUGGGUUUAGGGUUGGGGGCUAGGGGUUAGG